rnacentral:rRNA from 1 species
GUGCCAGCCGCCGCGGUAAUACAGAGGUGGCGAGCGUUGUUCGGAUUUACUGGGCGUAAAGGGUGCGUAGGCGGUUUGGUAAGUCGGAUGUGAAAGCCCAGGGCCCAACUCUGGAACUGCAUCCGAUACUGCUGAACUAGAGUGCAGGAGGGGAGAGCGGAAUUCUUGGUGUAGCGGUGAAAUGCGUUGAUAUCAAGAAGAACACCGGUGGCGAAGGCGGCUCUCUGGAAUGUUACUGACGCUGAGGCACGAAAGCUGGGGGAGCAAACAGGAUUAGAUACCCUGGUAGUCCCAGCCGUAAACGGUGUCGACUUGGUGUGGGAGGAAUUGACCCCUUCCGUGCCGGAGCUAACGCGUUAAGUCGACCGCCUGGGGAGUACGGCCGCAAGGCUAAAACUCAAAGAAAUUGACGGGGGCCCGCACAAGCGGAGGAGCAUGUGGCUUAAUUCGAUGCAACGCGAAGAACCUUACCCAGGCUUGACAUAUAUCUGCACCGCCUGUGAAAAGCAGGGUUUCUUUUCGAAGGUGAGAUACAGGUGCUGCAUGGCUGUCGUCAAGUUCGUGCCCGUGAGGUGUUUGGUUAAGUCCAGCAACGAACGCAACCCUUGUGAUUAGUUGCCACCCGAGUGAUGAGCCUUUCGAGCACUCUAAU